rfam:Bifidobacterium stellenboschense strain DSM 23968 Contig03, whole genome shotgun sequence.
CCCGUCGUCAUCAAGCCGCUGGAGACCCCCGAUGGUGAACCGGCUUGCCCGGGGAGCGGUUGGGGGUGGCACAAUCCAGGGGGUAGCGACUGUUUACCAAAAACACAGGUGCAUGCGAAGGCGCAAGCCGCUGUAUAUGCACUGACGCCUGCCCGGUGCCGGAAGGUUAAGAGGAUCCGUCAGCGUUUCGGCGUGAAGCGGUGAAUUCAAGCCCCGGUAAACGGCGGUGGUAACUAUAACCAUCCUAAGGUAGCGAAAUUCCUUGUCGGGUAAGUUCCGACCUGCACGAAUGGCGUAACGACUUCCCCACUGUCUCGACCAGGAGCUCGGCGAAAUUGCAGUACGAGUAAAGAUGCUCGUUAAGCGCAGAAGGACGAAAAGACCCCGGGACCUUUACUAUACCUUGGUAUUGGCAUUCGGUGUGGAUUGUGUAGCAUAGGCGGGAGACUGGGAAGCAUGGUCGCCAGAUCGUGUGGAGUCGGAAGGUGAAAUACCGCUCUGUUCGCAUUGGAUGUCUCACCACGAGCAGUGAUCCUGCUCUGGGACAGUGCCUGGCGGGUAGUUUAACUGGGGCGGUUGCCUCCCAAAGAGUAACGGAGGCGCUCAAAGGUCCCCUCAGCCCGGUUGGCAAUCGGGUGGCGAGUGCAAGUGCACAAGGGGGCUUGACUGCGAGACCGACGGGUCGAGCAGGGACGAAAGUCGGAACUAGUGAUCCGGUGCCGGUGUACGGACGCGGCAUCGCUCAACGGAUAAAAGGUACCCCGGGGAUAACAGGCUGAUCAUUCCCAAGAGUCCAUAUCGACGGAUGGUUUGGCACCUCGAUGUCGGCUCGUCGCAUCCUGGGGCUGGAGCAGGUCCCAAGGGUUCGGCUGUUCGCCGAUCAAAGCGGCACGCGAGCUGGGUUCAGAACGUCGUGAGACAGUUUGGUCUCUAUCCUCUGCGCUCGUCGGAAUACUGAGGAGACCUGCCCAUAGUACGAGAGGACCUGGGUGGACGAACCUCCGGUACGCCGGUUGUCACGCCAGUGGCACCGCCGGUUGGCUGCGUUCGGAAGGGAUAACCGCUGAAAGCAUCUAAGCGGGAAGCCCGCUCCAAGAUAAGUAUUCCCUGGGCUUUUCGAAGCCCGUGACCCCCCAUGUAGAACACGUGGUCGAUAGGCCGGACGUGGAAGCCCCGCGAGGGGUGGAGCCGACCGGUACUAACGGGGAAGCGCGACACACAC